ACAAUAACACUAUAAACUAGAAAAACCCAGCAGCCAAGAACCACACAGUGACAAACUUAAGUGGUGACACAGAGAUGAGUAGACAAGCGACAGGUGAUGUGAUUUGGAAAACCGGUGACAAAG